rnacentral:rRNA from 1 species
CACGCGCUGAGCUUAA